GACGAACGCUGGCGGCGUGCCUAACACAUGCAAGUCGAACGGAGCUUUUAUGGAAUGCGACUUCGGUCAAAUGAAGUUUAAGCUUAGUGGCGGACGGGUGAGUAACGCGUGAGCAACCUGCCUUUCAGAGGGGGACAACAGUUGGAAACGACUGCUAAUACCGCAUAACAUACAUUUGAGGCAUCUCUUAUGUAUCAAAGAUUUAUCGCUGAAAGAUGGGCUCGCGUCCGAUUAGGUAGUUGGUGGGGUAAUGGCCUACCAAGCCGACGAUGGGUUGCCGGACUGAGAGGUUGAACGGCCACAUUGGGACUGAGACACGGCCCAGACUCCUACGGGAGGCAGCAGUGGGGGAUAUUGCACAAUGGGGGAAACCCUGAUGCAGCAACGCCGCGUGAGGGAAGAAGGUUUUCGGAUUGUAAACCUCUGUUUUUAGUGAAGAAACAAAUGACGGUAGCUAAAGAGGAAGCCACGGCUAACUACGUGACAGCCGCCGCGGUAAGAC
rnacentral:rRNA from 1 species